GAUUCGUCACACUAUCAUUAACUGAAUCCAUAGGUUAAUGAGGCGAACCGGGGGAACUGAAACAUCUAAGUACCCCGAGGAAAAGAAAUCAACCGAGAUUCCCCCAGUAGCGGCGAGCGAACGGGGAGGAGCCCAGAGCCUGAAUCAGCAUGUGUGUUAGUGGAAGCGUCUGGAAAGGCGCGCGAUACAGGGUGACAGCCCCGUACACAAAAGCGCAUGUGCUGUGAGCUCGAUGAGUAGGGCGGGACACGUGGUAUCCUGUCUGAAUAUGGGGGGACCAUCCUCCAAGGCUAAAUACUCCUGACUGACCGAUAGUGAACCAGUACCGUGAGGGAAAGGCGAAAAGAACCCCGGCGAGGGGAGUGAAAAAGAACCUGAAACCGUGUACGUACAAGCAGUGGGAGCACCCUUCGGGGUGUGACUGCGUACCUUUUGUAUAAUGGGUCAGCGACUUAUAUUCUGUAGCAAGGUUAACCGUAUAGGGGAGCCGGAGGGAAACCGAGUCUUAAUUGGGCGUUAAGUUGCAGGGUAUAGACCCGAAACCCGGUGAUCUAGCCAUGGGCAGGUUGAAGGUUGGGUAACACUAACUGGAGGACCGAACCGACUAAUGUUGAAAAAUUAGCGGAUGACCUGUGGCUGGGGGUGAAAGGCCAAUCAAACCGGGAGAUAGCUGGUUCUCCCCGAAAGCUAUUUAGGUAGCGCCUCGUGAAUUCAUCUCCGGGGGUAGAGCACUGUUUCGGCUAGGGGGCCAUCCCGGCUUACCAACCCGAUGCAAACUGCGAAUACCGGAGAAUGUUAUCACGGGAGACACACGGCGGGUGCUAACGUCCGUCGUGAAGAGGGAAACAACCCAGACCGCCAGCUAAGGUCCCAAAGUCAUGGUUAAGUGGGAAACGAUGUGGGAAGGCCCAGACAGCCAGGAUGUUGGCUUAGAAGCAGCCAUCAUUUAAAGAAAGCGUAAUAGCUCACUGGUCGAGUCGGCCUGCGCGGAAGAUGUAACGGGGCUAAACCAUGCACCGAAGCUGCGGCAGCGAACGUAUCACCCAAGACAACUUUACGGAGUUGACGAUUGACGGAGCGAAGCGACGUCAAAGCGUUCAUUAAAGUCGAGUUGGCUUAGGGAUACGUUCGUUGGGUAGGGGAGCGUUCUGUAAGCCUGUGAAGGUGUGUCGUGAGGCAUGCUGGAGGUAUCAGAAGUGCGAAUGCUGACAUAAGUAACGAUAAAGCGGGUGAAAAGCCCGCUCGCCGGAAGACCAAGGGUUCCUGUCCAACGUUAAUCGGGGCAGGGUGAGUCGACCCCUAAGGCGAGGCCGAAAGGCGUAGUCGAUGGGAAACGGGUUAAUAUUCCCGUACUUGGUGUUACUGCGAAGGGGGGACGGAGAAGGCUAUGUUGGCCGGGCGACGGUUGUCCCGGUUUAAGCGUGUAGGUGUGUGUUCCAGGUAAAUCCGGUUCACUUUAACACUGAGGCGUGACGACGAGGCACUACGGUGCUGAAGCAACAAAUGCCCUGCUUCCAGGAAAAGCCUCUAAGCAUCAGGUAACACGAAAUCGUACCCCAAACCGACACAGGUGGUCAGGUAGAGAAUACCAAGGCGCUUGAGAGAACUCGGGUGAAGGAACUAGGCAAAAUGGUGCCGUAACUUCGGGAGAAGGCACGCUGACACGUAGGUGAAGUGAUUUACUCAUGGAGCUGAAGUCAGUCGAAGAUACCAGC
rnacentral:rRNA from 1 species